rnacentral:misc_RNA from 1 species
AAAAUAAUCCUACCCUUUGUGAAUUUUGUUUGUUUGAAUAAUUUUUUUUUUAAAAAAUUAUUGGAGUCUUUCCCUUUAGAGUUUGCUUUUGAGUUUGUAAAAGAAUUCGAAAACAUCUAAAGGGGAUGGUCAAUAAUUUUUUUGAAAAAAGACAUUUUUUAAAAUUAAACUUUUUGUAUUCAUUUGUCUAAAAAUUAUUUUUAUAAUAUAAAAACAACUUUUGACAAUGGAUCUCUUGGUUCUCGCAACGAUGAAGAACGCAGCAAAAUGCGAUAAGUAGUGUGAAUUGCAGAAUACGUGAAUCAUCGAAUCUUUGAACGCAUAUUGCACUUUUUUAGUUUACUAAAAAGUAUGUCUGUUUGAGUAUCAGUAAAAUAUUCUCAUAAAAUCAUGUGUAUUUUUAUGGUUAUGAGUGUUUUACAACGAUACAAGUUGUUUCACUUUAAAUUUUUUUUAAUAUUGAAAUUUUUCUAAUUUUAAUAAUUAAAAUUGGAUAAAAUUUUCCCGUCAAAAGGAAUAACCUAAACAAUUUUAAACGAUUAAUUUUAGCAAAAUUUUCGUAAAAAGGAAAAUUUUUAUUAAAAUAACUUGAUCUCAAAUCAGAUAAGAGUACCCGCUGAACUUAAGCAUAUCAAUAAGCGGAGGAAAAGAAACUAACAAGGAUUCCCUUAGUAACGGCGAGUGAAGCGGGAAGAGCUCAAAUUUGAAAUCUUCAAGGUUUUACCUUGACGAAUUGUAGUUUAAAGAAGUGUUUUCUGCUGAAGUUUUGGUAAAAGUUCUUUGGAAUAGGACAUCAUAGAGGGUGAGAAUCCCGUAUUUGACCAUUAUUUUCAGCUUUGUGAUACACUUUCAAAGAGUCGGAUUGUUUGGGAUGCAGUCCAAAAUGGGUGGUAAAUUUCAUCUAAAGCUAAAUAUUGGCGAGAGACCGAUAGCGAACAAGUACCGUGAGGGAAAGAUGAAAAGAACUUUGAAAAGAGAGUUAAACAGUACGUGAAAUUGUCAAAGGGAAGCGUUUGACACCAGUGUUGUUUUCUCGAAAAUCAAUUAAAAAUGGCUCGAUUUUGUAUUGCUGAGACCUUAAAAGCUCACUGUACAUUUUUCGUGUCUUUUUUAAUGCACUUUUCGUUUAACAAGUCAACAUCAGUUUCUUUUGUUGUAAAGGGUCAUUGGAAGGUGGCUUUCUUUUCGGAGAAAGUGUUUAUAGCCUUUGGCCUCUGCAAUCGGAGAGACUGAGGUCUGCAGCGUAGACUCUUCGGGGUUAGAUACAUUUGUGCUAAGUUAUAGCUUUUUAUAGACAACUUGUUGACUAUAAUUGGUCUUGUAGCUUACUCGCUUAUGCUAUUUUACC